rnacentral:rRNA from 1 species
GAUGAACGCUGGCGGCGUGCCUAAUACAUGCAAGUCGAGUGAAUGGAUUAAGAGCUUGCUCUUAUGAAGUUAGCGGCGGACGGGUGAGUAACACGUGGGUAACCUGCCCAUAAGACUGGGAUAACUUCGGGAAACCGGGGCUAAUACCGGAUAACAUUUUGAACCGCAUGGUUCGAAAUUGAAAGGCGGCUUCGGCUGUCACUUAUGGAUGGACCCGCGUCGCAUUAGCUAGUUGGUGAGGUAACGGCUCACCAAGGCAACGAUGCGUAGCCGACCUGAGAGGGUGAUCGGCCACACUGGGACUGAGACACGGCCCAGACUCCUACGGGAGGCAGCAGUAGGGAAUCUUCCGCAAUGGACGAAAGUCUGACGGAGCAACGCCGCGUGAGUGAGGAAGGCUUUCGGGUCGUAAAACUCUGUUGUUAGGGAAGAACAAGUGCUAGUUGAAUAAGCUGGCACCUUGACGGUACCUAACCAGAAAGCCACGGCUAACUACGUGCCAGCAGCCGCAGUAA